GAUAUGUUGGUCCAGUGGUUAAAUUGUCUGGUCUUUAUAGUGAAGACGCAGGUUCGAUUCCUGUUUGUGUCA
rnacentral:tRNA from 1 species